GGGCGACCAUAGCGUUGCGGACCCACCUGAACCCAUCAAAAGGGGUCAGAAGUGAAACGCAGUAGCGCCGAUGGUAGUGUGGGGUUUCCCCAUGUGAGAGUAGGACAUCGCCAGGCU
rnacentral:rRNA from 1 species